UGACUGGGGUCUGAUUUGUAUCACUUGUUGAUCUCUCCACCUUAAAUAGUCCCAUUAUGGCUGACUUCAUGCUACCAAUGUGGCAUCAUUUCUGAUCACUGGAGUUAAGAAGAGAUGUGCACAGUCAGCCCUACAGGCCAGCUGGAACUGGCUCCAGCAUAUUACUGAUCU
rnacentral:lncRNA from 13 species